CUUACUCCCUCCGUCUCAUUUAAGUGCAACCAUGAGUUUCUGUGUACAACUUUGAUCAUCCGUCUUAUUUUAAUAGUAUUUUUAUUGUUAUGAGACGAUAAAACAUGAAUAAUACUUUAUGUAUGACUUAUGUUUUUAAUUUUUUUAAAAAAAUUUUUAAAUAAGACAGACGAUCAAAGUUAGGUAAAAAAAAAAUAUGGCUGCACUUAAAAUGGGACGGAUGGAGUACA
rnacentral:pre_miRNA from 1 species